rnacentral:rRNA from 1 species
UGCAUGUGCCAGUACGAGCGAGUACACAGUGAAACUGCGAAUGGCUCAUUAAAUCAGUUGUGGUUCAUUGGAUCGUUGACAACCCAAGUGGAUAACUGUGGCAAAACCAGAGCUAAUACAUGCCUCGAUGCCCCGAUCCCCGUCGCCGGGGAGAGGGGCGCAGUUAUUAGACCAAGACCAACCGCCGGCGGCGCGCCCCUUCACGGGGGCCGCCCCGGUGACCUACUCUGUGGUGACUCUGGGUAACCUCGGGCUGAUCGCACGGCCUCCGCGCCGGCGACGUAUCUUUCAAAUGUCUGCCCUAUCAAAUGUCGAAGGGAGGUGCCUUGCCUCCCUUGUUGGCAACGGGUGACGGGGAAUCAGGGUUCGGUUCCGGAGAGGGAGCAUGAGAGUCGGCUACCACGUCCAAGGAAGGCAGCAGGCGCGCAAAUUACCCACUCCUGACACGGGGAGGUAGUGACGAAAACUAACGGUGCGGGACUCUGUUGAGGCUCCGCAACCGGAAUGAGUACACUUUAAAUCCUUGUAUCGAGGAUCCAUUGGAGGGCAAGUCUGGUGCCAGCAGCCGCGGUAAUUCCAGCUCCAAUAGCGUAUAUUAAAGUUGUUGCAGUUAAAAACCGAGUGGAGCCUGCGGCUUAAUUUGACUCAACACGGGGAAACUCACCCGGCCCGGACACCGUGAGGAUUGACAGACUGAGAGCUCUUUCUCGAUUCGGUGGGUGGUGGUGCAUGGCCGUUCUUAGUUGGUGGAGCGAUCCGUCUGGUUAAUUCCGAUAACGAACGAGACCCCGGCCUACUAAAUAGUCCGCCUCCCCGCCAAUGGGAGGGGCGAACCCGUAGACUUCUUAGAGGGAGAAGCGGCGUCGAACAGCCGCCUGAACUGGGGCAAUAACAGGUCUGUGAUGCCCUUAGAUGUCCGGGGCCGCACGCGCGCUACACUGAAAGAGUCAGAGGGUAGAGCUCCUGGCCCGACAUGGCUGGGCAAUCCGUAGCCAAACUCUAUCGUGCUAGGGACUGGGGCUUGCAAUUGUCCCCACCAACGAGGAAUUCCCAGUAAGCGCGAGUCAUCAGCUCGUGUUGAUCACGUCCCUGCCCUUUGUACACACCGCCCGUCGCUACUACCGAUUGGAUGGUUUAGUGAGGCCUUCGGACGGGCCCCGGGCCGGUCGCCUCGUGCGGCCGGCUGUCUUGGUGCUGCCCGAAAGGGGGUCGAAC